UACGUAGGGUGCGAGCGUUGUCCGGAAUUAUUGGGCGUAAAGAGCUCGUAGGCGGUCUGUCACGUCGGAUGUGAAAGCCCGGGGCUUAACCCCGGGUCUGCAUUCGAUACGGGCAGACUAGAGUGUGGUAGGGGAGAUCGGAAUUCCUGGUGUAGCGGUGAAAUGCGUAGAUAUCCGGAGGAACACCGGUGGCGAAGGCGGCUCCUGGACUGACACUGACGCUGAGGCGCGAAAGCUAGGGGAGCAAACGGGA
rnacentral:rRNA from 1 species